GGGUUGUGAGGUUAAGCGACUAAGCGUACACGGUGGAUGCCCUGGCAGUCAGAGGCGAUGAAGGGCGUGCUAAUCUGCGAUAAGCGCCGGUAAGGUGAUAUGAACCGUUAUAACCGGCGAUACCCGAAUGGGGAAACCCAGUGUGACUCGUCACACUAUCAUUAACUGAAUCCAUAGGUUAAUGAGGCGAACCGGGGGAACUGAAACAUCUAAGUACCCCGAGGAAAAGAAAUCAACCGAGAUUCCCCCAGUAGCGGCGAGCGAACGGGGAGGAGCCCAGAGCCUGAAUCAGCAUGUGUGUUAGUGGAAGCGUCUGGAAAGGCGCGCGAUACAGGG
rnacentral:rRNA from 1 species